rnacentral:rRNA from 1 species
AUGCCGACGGCGAUGGCAACGGUGCAGGCACAGCCAGGACUCGACGCGCACGAGUGGGACGAGGCAGCGUACCGGCAGGGCAUCCUAUGGGAGCGCGACCUCUCCUGUCGCACCCUCUUCCGUGCUGUCUUCUACGACCAGCGCGACGAACCCGACCCGGACGUCCUCCUCGCCGCCGCCUCCAGCGAUGGUCCUUCUCGCUGUCUUCCUGCAUCUCCUCCUCCGCCUCCGCCCACGGCGCCCCCAGAAAGCAAGCAGCACACCAGCCUCUAUGUGCAUUCUGUCCUCAUUCUUCUUGUAGAAUGCUUGAUUCCUUAUGGUUCUGUUGGUACAUAUUUUCAUGGAAGCAUGGAGGAUUUCAAAGAGCUUGUUCAUGUCAUCAUGCCUGGUGCGUGCCGCCCUUCCCCUCCCCUCGAUUUUUUGGGGCGCCGACGACCCAGCGCAAUAUCGGCGGCAUGGUGGCAUAGCCCCUAUCUACCGGCGGCGACCCGUACCCCGAGCUCCCCCUGCCUCCCUGUAGUCAUCCUCUUCCUGUCGGGGUGGCCGCCCCUUGAUGCCGGCCAGGGCGAGGAGUUGUCCUGGAGUGCUCACGAAGAAGAUGACAACUGUGGUGGCGACGCCUCCCGCCCCAAGGAGGAGCAGGGCAGCAGUGUGGGGGCGAAGGAUGGCAGCAGGAAGGGCGGGCCCAAAUGCAGGGUGAUGCUGCCCUGCAUUGUCGCCGCCGGUGUGCAGUUUAGCUGGGCUUUGCAGCUCUCCCUCCUCACCCAUGCAGUUCGCCCCCUGCACGAUGCUGUUUGUUUUUGGGUCCACAACAACUUUGUCCACAACACAGUGCAAUGCUUCGACGGGCGACCCGUUGUUCGCCCAACGGCCACCACGAGCCCACGACAUCCUACAUGUUGCAGGUCAUUUUGGGUUGAUGUUGAAUUGAUCGGCGCUGAAGGCCCCGUGCAGUCUGGUGUGGUGCAGUCUGAUUUUGCUUGGCACAAGAAAAUGCAGUUCGCUUGGGUCUUCGGUGUGGUGCUGGUGCGCACUGCGUGCGGUGCUGGCAUGCAGUGCUCAUGGAUCUGGCGUGCAGUGCAGUGCACCCCGUACCCUUGCCUUAGGCGUUGUGAUGUUUGGUACACGAUAGCGUCCAGCUCGCCCCCCCCCUUGCGGCGUGCAGUUCUAUUCUGCUUCCACAGAAUUUGGUGGCCGAGCACUGCUCGUGCUCAUCUCGGAGCAAGCAGGCAUGCAGUUUAG